rnacentral:rRNA from 1 species
UCCGACCUGCACGAAUGGCGUAAUGAUGGCCAGGCUGUCUCCACCCGAGACUCAGUGAAAUUGAACUCGCUGUGAAGAUGCAGUGUACCCGCGGCAAGACGGAAAGACCCCGUGAACCUUUACUAUAGCUUGACACUGAACAUUGAGCCUUGAUGUGUAGGAUAGGUGGGAGGCUUAGAAGUGUGGACGCCAGUCUGCAUGGAGCCGACCUUGAAAUACCACCCUUUAAUGUUUGAUGUUCUAACGUUGACCCGUAAUCCGGGUUGCGGACAGUGUCUGGUGGGUAGUUUGACUGGGGCGGUCUCCUCCUAAAGAGUAACGGAGGAGCACGAAGGUUGGCUAAUCCUGGUCGGACAUCAGGAGGUUAGUGCAAUGGCAUAAGCCAGCUUGACUGCGAGCGUGACGGCGCGAGCAGGUGCGAAAGCAGGUCAUAGUGAUCCGGUGGUUCUGAAUGGAAGGGCCAUCGCUCAACGGAUAAAAGGUACUCCGGGGAUAACAGGCUGAUACCGCCCAAGAGUUCAUAUCGACGGCGGUGUUUGGCACCUCGAUGUCGGCUCAUCACAUCCUGGGGCUGAAGUAGGUCCCAAGGGUAUGGCUGUUCGCCAUUUAAAGUGGUACGCGAGCUGGGUUUAGAACGUCGUGAGACAGUUCGGUCCCUAUCUGCCGUGGGCGCUGGAGAACUGAGGGGGGCUGCUCCUAGUACGAGAGGACCGGAGUGGACGCAUCACUGGUGUUCGGGUUGUCAUGCCAAUGGCACUGCCCGGUAGCUAAAUGCGGAAGAGAUAAGUGCUGAAAGCAUCUAAGCACGAAACUUGCCCCGAGAUGAGUUCUCCCUGACCCUUUAAGGGUCCUGAAGGAACGUUGAAGACGACGACGUUGAUAGGCCGGGUGUGUAAGCGCAGCGAUGCGUUGAGCUAACCGGUACUAAUGAACCGUGAGGCUUAACCUUACAACGCCGAAGGUGUUU